GCUGGGUGUGGUGGCGCACUCCUGUAGUCCCAGCUACUCAGGAGGCUGAGGCAGGAGAAUCGUUUGAACCCGGGAGGCAGAGGCUGCAGUGAGCUGAGAUCGCGCCACUGCCCUCCAGCCUGGGUGACAGAACGAGACUCUGUCUCAA
rnacentral:SRP_RNA from 1 species